UUUAGAUUAGAAGUCUGAUUCCGUUGGGCAUUGCCCUCACCCUGGGAUUUGAGGCACAAGUUAAACCCACCUUCAGCUACAGGAAACUAAUGCUCACGGGCAGUGAGAGUGAGGAGGUCCUCAUUUGAGGUCAAGAAGGAAACAGAGAUUAAGAGAGAUGAUGAGACCUCCUGGAGAUCAAGAAGGGCAUUUUAAGAGAGUCAGCAAGGACUGGAUUGAUGAAUGAAGAACCCUACAUGAUAGGAAGGUUGUUCAGGAAAGGGUGUUUUGAGAAGAAGUUGGAAAGUUGGAAAGUUCCUUUUGGAGCUUUUAGCAAGUCCCACAUGGAGUCUAGCCAAGUUCCAAUGACCACUGCCUGCUCAAGACAAUGAUUCAUCACAUUUCUGGAAAUCAUAGGAGUGUCACCCAAGACAAGACAGCCUGUCCAUUGUUCUGUUGGAUUACUGUGAAUGCAGCAUUCCUGAUGGUCUGCUCAGUGUCCUGGAGGCAACUACAAGAGCCAAAGUCCACCAACUGAAUCCUAUGUGAACAUACGCACUUUGGGGCUCAUGUUUCUAAGAGAUGAUUCGUUUAUCAUAUCGGGUAUAAGCUGUGACAUGUGAGCUCUACUGUGUAUGGCUAUUAGCGCAAAAUCAGUUUCUAUCAAGUUUCAAGGUAUCUAAAGGUAUAAAUUACACCAAAAUUACACAUUUUCAUGAAAUUCCAUGUCUAAUCCCAUGUUUUGCAUAACACACUGCCAAUUUCUGCUGCUCAAACAUCAGACUUUUUUCUCCUGGACCAAGGGUUAGCUAGGACAGUGUACACUGAUAAAGGAGGAUAUGUAUGUUCCACAGUGUUUUCCAUAGAACCCACAAAGAUUGCUGCAUCCCAAUUCUUCUUCCCUCUUAGUAUCAUAGGAUUUACAAUUCCUGUAUUCUUCUGCCUCUAAUUUUCUUUCAGUC
rnacentral:lncRNA from 1 species